rnacentral:rRNA from 2 species
GUGACCUCGGAUCAGGUAGGAAUACCCG